GGCAGCAUCCACGCUGCCCUGGUUGUGCCCAAUCUCACCAGAUUUCCGAAGCUAAGCAAGGUUGGGCCUGGUUAGUACUUGGAGGGGGGAGCAUUAGGGAAAAGCAGGUGCACUGGCU
rnacentral:rRNA from 1 species